UGUAUAUUCGGCGGACGGGUGAGUAACACGUGGGCAACCUGCCCUGCAAUCGGGAUAACUCCGGGAAACCGGUGCUAAUACCGAAUAGUUUGCGGCCUCUCAUGAGGCUGCACGGAAAGACGGUUUCGGCUGUCACUGCAGGAUGGGCCCGCGGCGCAUUAGCUAGUUGGUGGGGUAACGGCCUACCAAGGCGACGAUGCGUAGCCGACCUGAGAGGGUGAUCGGUCACACUGGGACUGAGACACGGCCCAACUCCUACNGGAGGCAGCAGUAGGGAAUCUUCCGCAAUGGACGAAAGUCUGACGGAGCAACGCCGCGUGNAGUGAAGAAGGUUUUCGGAUCGUAAAACUCUGUUGUGAGGGGAAGAACAAGUAUCAACUAACUAUUGGUACCUUGACNGUACCUCACCAGANAGCCACGGCUAACUACGUGCCAGCAGCCGCGGUAAUACGUAGGUGGCAAGCGUUGUCCGGAAUUAUUGGGGCGUAAAGCGCG
rnacentral:rRNA from 1 species